rnacentral:rRNA from 1 species
GACGAACGCUGGCGGCGUGCUUAACACAUGCAAGUCGAACGGAAAGGCCCUGCUUUUGUGGGGUGCUCGAGUGGCGAACGGGUGAGUAACACGUGAGUAACCUGCCCUUGACUUUGGGAUAACUUCAGGAAACUGGGGCUAAUACCGGAUAGGAGCUCCUGCUGCAUGGUGGGGGUUGGAAAGUUUCGGCGGUUGGGGAUGGACUCGCGGCUUAUCAGCUUGUUGGUGGGGUAGUGGCUUACCAAGGCUUUGACGGGUAGCCGGCCUGAGAGGGUGACCGGCCACAGUGGGACUGAGAGACGGCCCAGACUCCUACGGGAGGCAGCAGUGGGGAAUAUUGCACAAUGGGCGGAAGCCUGAUGCAGCAACGCCGCGUGCGGGAUGACGGCCUUCGGGUUGUAAACCGCUUUCGCCUGUGACGAAGCGUGAGUGACGGUAAUGGGUAAAGAAGCACCGGCUAACUACG